rfam:Oryza sativa Japonica Group DNA, chromosome 7, cultivar: Nipponbare, complete sequence.
UAUAAAUGUAGUUGUGGGUUUCCGUGUUCAACGUUUUGACUAUUCGUUUUAUUUGAAAAAAAAUAUGAUUAGUAUUUUUAUUGUUAUUAGAUGAUAAAAUAUGAAUAGUAUUUUAUAUAUGUAUGUGACUAAUUAUUUUUUUAAUAAAAUUUUCAAAUAAGACGGACGGUCAAACAUUACACACGGAAAUUCACAAAUGCAUUUAUA